CCUGAAAAGCCGCCGGGUUUUUGAGUCUUGGUCCCAUUCCGUUAGGCCUUUGAAGGAAUGGUGACGGGGCGCUUUAUUUU
rnacentral:ncRNA from 1 species